UACAGAGGUGGCAAGCGUUGUUCGGAAUUACUGGGCGUAAAGGGCGCGUAGGCGGUCUUGUAAGUCUUGUGUGAAAUCCCUCGGCUUAACUGAGGAACUGCACGGGAUACUGCGAGACUUGAGUUCGGGAGAGGGAAGCGGAAUUCCGGGUGUAGCGGUGAAAUGCGUAGAUAUCAGGAGGAACACCGGUGGCGAAGGCGGGGUCUCUGGGCCGAAAAUUGACGCUGAGGCACGAAAGCGUGGGGGAGCAAACAGG
rnacentral:rRNA from 1 species